AUAGGGGUGUGGUCAUACGACCCGUCUUUAAGGACACCGGGAGGAUUCACGCUACGAACCCACUGACCUCAGCGGGGCUCGGGGGUGACUUCAGUGCAGAACCCCGCUGGAACAACUUCACCUCCAUACCCACAUGUCAAACAGAGGAGCAGACGUCUUUAAAAGGAGCAUUUCGCUGAUUUUCAGUGGAGAACCCUGACCUCUCACCCCAGUCGUUUCAUGCUUGGCUGCAGAUGACUGCAGUGCAUGCUGAUGGUCACUCUCUGAUGAAGCCAAAAGAACCACAUUUUCUGCAAAUUGAAGAAAUGCUUCUGUGAGCUUCAUAAAGAAGAUGCCCUCCUCAUCCUGGCUACACCUUGAGACGCUGUCCUUAAAAGUCAAAAACAGGAUCAGAGACAAGCGGUAACUCUGUGGGAGUCCAACAUCCAUUAAAAAGAUGGUUGACUUUAUACCAAGGAUGCAGACACAGCUCUCACUUUGGUUUUACAAGGACCUGAUGGCCAAUAGCAGCGGACCAAGAACCCCAUACUUGUCAGCUUUCUCUGUGCCUAUAAAGCACCAGUAGACUGGAUGGUCAGACUCUCUUCUGCUCCCUCCAGAAGUCCUGCAAGGGUGGAGAUCUGGACAACUGUUUUACAACCAGGCUGGAAUCUGCAUUACUUGUCCUAAAUCUGAGGUUCCACCAUUAGCUGGGGCCUCCUUUCCAGCACCCUGAAAGAAAUUUUGCUGGGAGCCUGAGCAGUGUGAUACCCGGAUAACUGGAGCACUCCCUCCAGCUCUCCUUUUUGAAAAUUGCAGUCACCACCCCAGUCUGCCACUCCACAGGCACAAUGCCAGAUUACAACCUAACAUUAAAGAGGUGUGUCAACUGAGACAUUUCCAUAAUGUCUAGAGGCUUUAGCAUCUCAGGGCAAAUCUCAUCCGAAUCUGGUGCUUCCUGUCAUAGUUCUUAUCAUCUACCCUGUCAGUGACUUCUGCCAGUGUAAUUGGUGAGGUUUUGCCUUAGUCUUCAGGAUCUGCCUUCCCCACAUACGAUUUUUUGACUGGGUUUAGGAAUUCCUCAAAGUGCUCCUUCCCCCAAAUGACAAUAUCCCCAGUCCAGGGCAGAAGGGCAGUUCUACCUCACUCAAAUAUGUCCUGAGCAAACCCUUGCUUUCCUCAUCGGAUGGCUUGCCAGAACUUCUCUGAGGGCUCCUCUACCAUGGUCUCACUGAACUUCUCCAUCUCCUGAACGUUUGCUUCUACAAUUAUAAAGCAGCUGCCUUACUGGCCUUCCAAUACCUUCCUCCUCCAGGAGUUCAAAGCUAAGUCCAGAAACCCUCCUUUUUCAGUCUGAUGGCCCUCCCUACCACUGGUUUCCAACAGAGGGGUCCACAGUUUUCUGCCACGGCAGACAUCAAUCAUCUUACAGCUCCUGUCAGCCGCCUCAGCAAUAAAGAACUUGAACAUAGUGCAUUCGAACUGUAUGUCCCCAGUCUCCCCUGCAAUACAAGCGAACUCCUUCUGGACAUGGGAGUUUGGCUGGGGCCUGGUGAGUAUCCCCACAACUGCCUGGUUUGUUGUUAAAUAUUUGUUAAAUAUUACAUUGGUCAGACUUAUCAUUUAUUUUUAAAUGACCGAUUAGUCUUUUAUUCAUUGUAAAUUAUAUUUCUAUAAUAAUUAUAGUUAUUAUACUAUAAUGAUUUAGAAAUUCAUAAAUACAAGAAGAUAAGAAGGCAAUCGGAGCACUCGGUGUAGUGACCCCAAGCUGGGCGAGUGGCUCCAGCAUUUCUGUCCAGAAGAGCGCAGUCCUAGGAACAGCAAAUAUACUGCGCAGGACCCUCAAGGUCCCAGGCCUCUGGUAAAGGACCUGAGCAUGAAGGAUAACGGCCGCCCGCAGGCUGAGAGGAGAAUAUAAGCAAGAUAUGUAUAUAUGGUGCUCCUCCAUCUGUUCAGGCUCCUUUUAACAUUUCUCUUAAAAAGACUUGAAUUAAUGAGUUCUCUAGUUCAACAAGUCUUCAGUUUUAGUUUUUCAGCAAUGCACUUUCUCUUGAUAGAUUUAGGUGAGUGUCUAUAAAUCAUGCGUGCUUGUCUUACUUUUCUGUUGUGACAAUCUUGUAUGAGGGAGUCAACCUUGUCCUUGAUUACCAAGGUAACCUAAACUAGCUCAGCCCUACAGCAUAGACCUCCUACCUUUUAGAGAUAGUGGAACAGUAUCAACAGAGAUGCUGCAAAAAGGUUAACACCAGGGAGGUUCAAUGAUAUUUUUAUUCUUAGCACAAAUACACAGCGAUACAGUAGAUCUACAAUCCUGCUACAACUUCCCAUCAGGGUUCUUGGUAUUCACAGAAAUUAAAAAAAGACACAUUUUAAAAACAAAUCAGUCUGUGUUUCUUGUCAUGUAAGAUAAGAUUAAAAUUCUAUAAGAGAAAAAGGGUAAGUUUAAUUUGUAAAACAUUGAGUACUUACUUGGCAUAUGAUUUCACUUGAAAUAUCAUUAAAAUCACAUUCCUAACAAUGUGCAGAUCCAAAAAAACUCUGACUGUAUGGGCAUGGACAUGGGAUUUCUUUGGUUGGUGCUAGUUUGGGAUGGCACAUUUGUAUCCUUUGAAUGCUUGGUUUGAUUAUGACGUGGCAAAUUUAGAAGCUGGGGCAUCACUUUGGGCUCUUUGUAUUUUGGAAUCAUUCGUGAACAGUUUUGCAUGGGGGUGUGGCUUAGUGUGCAACAAAGUGUAGUCAGUUUAAUGAUUUCUUUAACUUUGCCUGUCAGUGUUUGUAUGUUUGACCAGCCAGUUCAUACCUGUACAUUCGGGUGUGUCUGCAAGUGUUUCUUUCACAACUGAAAGCCACUGCUCAGAUGGAACAUAAAUAACUUGAAGAGUGCAAUUGUAUCCUAUGAGACAUAGUUCUUUAUUAAGUAUUUCACAUACAGUGCCACUCACAUACAAGCAUUUACUUCACAGUAAUACAAGGUUACAUACAGGGUCUCGUAUCCAUCAACAAUCCAAUUUGUGAUUUAUUGAAUGUUUGUUACCAUGGUGACUCUUAACACACUUAAAAAAAA